rnacentral:rRNA from 1 species
CAGUAGCCACGGGAAUACGAAGGGGGCUAGCGUUGUCCGGAAUUAUUGGGCGUAAAGCGCGCGCAGGCGGAUAGGUCAGUCUGUCUUAAAAGUUCGGGGCUUAACCCCGUGAUGGGAUGGAAACUGCCAAUCUAGAGUAUCGGAGAGGAAAGUGGAAUUCCUAGUGUAGCGGUGAAAUGCGCAGAGAUUAGGAGGAACACCAGUGGCGAAGGCGGCUUUUUGGCCUGUAACUGACACUGAGGCGCGAAAGCGUGGGGAGCAAACAGGAUUAGAUACCCCAGUAGUCCCUGUCUCUUAUACC